rnacentral:rRNA from 1 species
UGAACGCUGGCGGCAUGCCUUCCACAUGCACGUCGACCGGUAACGGGCCUUCGGGUGCCGACGAGUGGCGAACGGGUGAGUAAUACAUCGGAACGUGCCCGAUCGUGGGGGAUAACGAGGCGAAAGCUUUGCUAAUACCGCAUACGAUCUACGGAUGAAAGCAGGGGACCGCAAGGCCUUGCGCGGACGGAGCGGCCGAUGGCAGAUUAGGUAGUUGGUGGGAUAAAAGCUUACCAAGCCGACGAUCUGUAGCUGGUCUGAGAGGAUGAUCAGCCACACUGGGACUGAGACACGGCCCAGACUCCUACGGGAGGCAGCAGUGGGGAAUUUUGGACAAUGGGCGCAAGCCUGAUCCAGCCAUGCCGCGUGCAGGAUGAAGGCCUUCGGGUUGUAAACUGCUUUUGUACGGAACGAAAAGCCUUCUUUUAAUACAGGAGGGUCAUGACGGUACCGGAAGAAUAAGCACCGGCUAACUACGUG